rnacentral:misc_RNA from 1 species
AAAAUGUGCUGCAAUCAUUCAAGCUCCCACGUCCAAUUCUAGGUAUUGGUGGAGUGCUUCAGGUGGAACUGUUGGGCAGGGUGCAGAGACAAGAAAUGGAUGACUUGUAUUAUUUUUGUAUGUGCUAUGUUCGAGUGAUCGGCCGCCCGCUUUCGCCAAUUCUUGACGUUGACUUGAGCGACAGCUCAGGGAAGCCUGUCUUGAAGUUCCUACCCGCCGCAAUGCAGAGCGCCUUGCUAGAGCAGCAGUCGACUGAUCCCACCGGGCCCUCCAGUGAGCAAUCUCCCACAGCAAGGAACAAUCCG